GACGAACGCUGGCGGCGUGCUUAACACAUGCAAGUCGAACGGAAAGGCCCUGCUUUUGUGGGGUGCUCGAGUGGCGAACGGGUGAGUAACACGUGAGUAACCUGCCCUUGACUUUGGGAUAACUUCAGGAAACUGGGGCUAAUACCGGAUAGGAGCUCCUGCUGCAUGGUGGGGGUUGGAAAGUUUCGGCGGUUGGGGAUGGACUCGCGGCUUAUCAGCUUGUUGGUGGGGUAGUGGCUUACCAAGGCUUUGACGGGUAGCCGGCCUGAGAGGGUGACCGGCCACAUUGGGACUGAGAUACGGCCCAGACUCGUACGGGGGGCAGCAGUGGGGAAUAUUGCACAAUGGGCGGAAGCCUGAUGCAGCAACGCCGCGUGCGGGAUGACGGCCUUCGGGUUGUAAACCGCUUUCGCCUGUGACGAAGCGUGAGUGACGGUAAUGGGUAAAGAAGCACGGGCUAACUACGUG
rnacentral:rRNA from 1 species